UACGAAGGGUGCAAGCGUUACUCGGAAUUACUGGGCGUAAAGCGUGCGUAGGUGGUUGUUUAAGUCUGUCGUGAAAGCCCUGGGCUCAACCUGGGAAUUGCGAUGGAAACUGGGCAACUAGAGUGUGGCAGAGGAUAGUGGAAUUCCUGGUGUAGCAGUGAAAUGCGUAGAGAUCAGGAGGAACAUCCGUGGCGAAGGCGACUGUCUGGGCCAACACUGACACUGAGGCACGAAAGCGUGGGGAGCAAACAGG
rnacentral:rRNA from 1 species